CCUACGGGAUGCAGCAGUGGGGAAUUUUGGACAAUGGGCGAAAGCCUGGUCCAGCCUUGCCGCGUGCAGGAUGAAGGCCUUCGGGUUGUAAACUGCUUUUGUACGGAACGAACAGACUCCUUCUAAUAAAGGGGGUUCAUGACGGUACCGUAAGGAUAAGCACAGGCUAACUACGUGCCAGCAGCCGCGGUAAUACGUAGGGUGCAAGCGUUAAUCGGAAUUGCUGGGCGUAAAGCGUGCGCAGGCGGUUAUAUAAGACAGAUGUGAAAUCCCCGGGCUCAACCUGGGAACUGCAUUUGUGACUGUAUAGCUAGAGUACGGCAGAGGGGGAUGGAAUUCCGCGUGUAGCAGUGAAAUGCGUAGAUAUGCGGAGGAACACCGAUGGCGAAGGCGAUCCCCUGGGCCUGUACUGACGCUCAUGCACGAAAGCGUGGGGAGCAAACAGGAUUAGAUACCCUCGUAGUC
rnacentral:rRNA from 1 species